rnacentral:sRNA from 13 species
GUAAAUACACCCCAACAAACCAUAAUUGCAAAUAAAAUGAUCUUUAAAAAGAAGCCAGCAACCUUAACUACCAGUUGAAACCGAUUGUUGAUUCUUAUCCAAUUACUCCUAGCCUCACGAUUAGGAUU